rnacentral:rRNA from 1 species
UACGUAGGGUCCGAGCGUUGUCCGGAAUACUGGGCGUAAAGCGUGCGCAGGCGGUGAUGUAAGACAGGUGUGAAAUCCCCGGGCUUAACCUGGGAACUGCAUUUGUGACUGCAUCGCUGGAGUGCGGCAGAGGGGGAUGGAAUUCCGCGUGUAGCAGUGAAAUGCGUAGAUAUGCGGAGGAACACCGAUGGCGAAGGCAAUCCCCUGGGCCUGCACUGACGCUCAUGCACGAAAGCGUGGGGAGCAAACAGG